rnacentral:lncRNA from 1 species
UGCAGCCCGGCCGCCCUCGGCGGCAGCUGUCAAGGGAAAAUCCCACGGUGGGCGCUCUUGCAAGAGCGGCAAUGAGAAUGCGAGUCUUUGGAAGGUCCAGUUUUGUCGGAGCAAAAUGAAGGCACCAGCACAUAUUUACAAAGUGUAGAUAUCCUGGCUCUGUUUGUUGCUCAUCUGUUUCCACAGCGUUGGGAUUCCCUGGGAAGCCCCUCUGUCCCUUGGCUUCUGAGCCCCAGUGUCCUCCCAGAGGAAGGAGCAUUUUGCUUUCAGAGGAGAAGAGCCAUCACAGCAGGCUCCACAUUCCCUGAUGCUUCUCGGGGUGAAGGAAUUUGCUUGAGAGCCACAUCUGUCCCUUGCCAUGAGCUAGCCAAGAUGCUGUCUCCUGAGGGCCAGCACCAUAUCAAGGGAGAAGCCCCCUCCUAAUUCAAAAAAGGAGAGAUGCCAGCCCAUCCUUCUUCAGGAGCCCACAGACUUCCUUGGCCCCUGGAGUGGUGAAAGGUGGGGACAUUCAGAAUGCACCAUAAGAUGCUUCUGGUUUUUAGUGGCCCUGAAAGGGUUCAGAUGUACAAGACUCUGGGGAUCUCUGGGGACGGUGGGAUAUUUUUGUCUGUCACUUGACUGAUGUUUGCUGUCAUGUAGAGAGAGUUUGUUAUUCUUUGCUGUAUGGCUUAUAUUCUUUCAGGAACAGCAAGAAUUCUGAGUCUGGGAUAGGUGCUUUUCCUGCAUUCACAUAGGAAUAACAGUAAUAAUAACAAUAAUAAUAGUACAUUAGUAACUUUAGAGAAAUACUCUGUGUUUCACCAGAAUGCCCCAUCUUCUUCAGCGUAGCUGCUCCAUUUUGAAAAGACAGUCUUGUGUCAGCCUUUAUGAAACAGGAAAAACUAGAUUAUGCAACUGGUGUCAUAGACCAGCCGUUUGCCAAUUGUGAACUUGUGUAACCCUUGAAAACAGUAGUUUUUGGCUCAAAAUCAGCACAUAGCUUAGGCAUAUGCUUAACUUUAAGCAUUAGAAUAGUCAUAUUGAAAUCAGGGGGAGUGUUCACAUGUUUACAGUUAAAUUUCAGUCCAAAUGCUUUGCUGAAUUUUGUCCUAUUGGGGACUCAGAAUGCUAAUACAGUUGUCAGAGCCUGACCCUGCAGAGUAUUAAAUAAAGCUGAGAUCUCUAAUUCCCA